AAGACUUUCCUGAGCACGAGGUCACCUUCUCGGAACACACGAGGCUUGACCUUCUUAUCGAAUGCUUUCGUCAUUCUGCUGAUAUAACUGACCAUGACACAUGGCAGUUGAUCUCUUCUUUUUGAUUGAAUUCAACAUCAGUCAACUGGGGACUUUGAGGGUGCUAUGUCUCUUUUUUUUUUCUUUCUUUUUUUUUCUUGUGAUUUCUUUUGAUUUCUUUUGAUUUUUCACCCUCUUCUUUCUUUUUUCUUCUCUUUUUUUUUUUGAUAAUGCCCCAGUUGGUUGUUCUGCUGAUUCUCGAGAUGCAGCUGAGUGAUCUUCUUUUCUUGCUCAAGAAGUCGGGAAAUCUCGUCAGGAAUUCCUUUAACAUCAUCUUCUUCCGCUUCGAAUACAGGGAAUUCAAAAUUGGGAGAUGACGUCCGAUCAUUAUGUUUAAUGGGUUUAAGAAACAACCUGCAUAAAGAUUUUGAUAUGAAAAGCUUUUUGAAAAUC
rnacentral:lncRNA from 1 species